rnacentral:rRNA from 1 species
UUGGGGGGAAGAUCAUUG